UCCUCGGUAGCUCAGCUGGCAGAGCGGGUGACUGUUAAUCACUAGGUCGGCGGUUCAAUCCCGUCCCGGGGAGCCA
rnacentral:tRNA from 1 species